rnacentral:rRNA from 1 species
AUUGAACGCUGGCGGUAUGCUUUACACAUGCAAGUCGAACGGCAGCACGGACUUCGGUCUGGUGGCGAGUGGCGAACGGGUGAGUAAUGUAUCGGAACGUGCCCAGUAGUGGGGGAUAACUACUCGAAAGAGUGGCUAAUACCGCAUGAGAUCUCUGGAUGAAAGCGGGGGACCGUAAGGCCUCGCGCUACUGGAGCGGCCGAUAUCAGAUUAGGUAGUUGGUAGGGUAAGAGCCUACCAAGCCAACGAUCUGUAGCUGGUCUGAGAGGACGACCAGCCACAUUGGGACUGAGACACGGCCCAAACUCCUACGGGAGGCAGCAGUGGGGAAUCUUGCGCAAUGGGCGAAAGCCUGACGCAGCCAUGCCGCGUGGAUGAUGAAGGUCUUAGGAUUGUAAAAUCCUUUCACCGGUGAAGAUAAUGACUGUAGCCGGAGAAGAAGCCCCGGCUAACUUCGUG